rnacentral:misc_RNA from 1 species
GGAAUAACCAGAAACGUUUUCCAAGAAGAAUCCAAAGAGCACCAAAGACCAAGCCUCUCAACAAAAGUAGGCAAAGUAUAAGGAGGAGGAGACCAGCACAUGAGUAGAGGAUAAGCAGUUUGACCUGAUGAGGAUACACAGGAAACAAGCAGAUCGCUAGUGUCAAAAUUGGCCAGCAGAAUGAAAGAAGUGUUUGCCAUAGGGGCCUUCUUUUGACAAAUGUCC